AAGUCGAACGAACUCUGGUAUUGAUUGGUGCUUGCAUCAUGAUUUACAUUUGAGUGAGUGGCGAACUGGUGAGUAACACGUGGGAAACCUGCCCAGAAGCGGGGGAUAACACCUGGAAACAGAUGCUAAUACCGCAUAACAACUUGGACCGCAUGGUCCGAGCUUGAAAGAUGGCUUCGGCUAUCACUUUUGGAUGGUCCCGCGGCGUAUUAGCUAGAUGGUGGGGUAACGGCUCACCAUGGCAAUGAUACGUAGCCGACCUGAGAGGGUAAUCGGCCACAUUGGGACUGAGACACGGCCCAAACUCCUACGGGAGGCAGCAGUAGGGAAUCUUCCACAAUGGACGAAAGUCUGAUGGAGCAACGCCGCGUGAGUGAAGAAGGGUUUCGGCUCGUAAAACUCUGUUGUUAAAGAAGAACAUAUCUGAGAGUAACUGUUCAGGUAUUGACGGUAUUUAACCAGAAAGCCACGGCUAACUACGUGCCAGCAGCCGCGGUAAUACGUAGGUGGCAAGCGUUGUCCGGAUUUAUUGGGCGUAAAGCGAGCGCAGGCGGUUUUUUAAGUCUGAUGUGAAAGCCUUCGGCUCAACCGAAGAAGUGCAUCGGAAACUGGGAAACUUGAGUGCAGAAGAGGACAGUGGAACUCCAUGUGUAGCGGUGAAAUGCGUAGAUAUAUGGAAGAACACCAGUGGCGAAGGCGGCUGUCUGGUCUGUAACUGACGCUGAGGCUCGAAAGUAUGGGUAGCAAACAGGAUUAGAUACCCUGGUAGUCCAUACCGUAAACGAUGAAUGCUAAGUGUUGGAGGGUUUCCGCCCUUCAGUGCUGCAGCUAACGCAUUAAGCAUUCCGCCUGGGGAGUACGGCCGCAAGGCUGAAACUCAAAGGAAUUGACGGGGGCCCGCACAAGCGGUGGAGCAUGUGGUUUAAUUCGAAGCUACGCGAAGAACCUUACCAGGUCUUGACAUACUAUGCAAAUCUAAGAGAUUAGACGUUCCCUUCGGGGACAUGGAUACAGGUGGUGCAUGGUUGUCGUCAGCUCGUGUCGUGAGAUGUUGGGUUAAGUCCCGCAACGAGCGCAACCCUUAUUAUCAGUUGCCAGCAUUAAGUUGGGCACUCUGGUGAGACUGCCGGUGACAAACCGGAGGAAGGUGGGGAUGACGUCAAAUCAUCAUGCCCCUUAUGACCUGGGCUACACACGUGCUACAAUGGAUGGUACAACGAGUUGCGAACUCGCGAGAGUAAGCUAAUCUCUUAAAGCCAUUCUCAGUUCGGAUUGUAGGCUGCAACUCGCCUACAUGAAGUCGGAAUCGCUAGUAAUCGCGGAUCAGCAUGCCGCGGUGAAUACGUUCCCGGGCCUUGUACACACCGCCCGUCACACCAUGAGAGUUUGUAACACCCAAAGUCGGUGGGGUAACCUUUUAGGAACCAA
rnacentral:rRNA from 2 species